GGUGAGAUCAAUUGAAUCGAAAAUUGAGAACUAAUGGCUGAUAUCUAUUCAAUCUUCUACAUUGUUGACUAUUGUCCAGCAGUUGGAUUGCAAGUUCGGAUGGAUGACGUCGUUUCUAGUAUAAAAAUGAGGAUUUGAAUUCCAAACGAUCAGAUCGGUAUUCUCUUAUAUAUGAGUAACUUCUUCUUUUGACCAAUGUGGGAUUUUUACCUUAAGAGCCAGUACAGUUGCGGAAGCAUUAACCUCGGCUGGGUUCUCUUGAUUUUCACGUGGUUUCUCCAUCGACGGCUCUUGUCAAUAGUAGUAUUAAUGCCAAUGCUUCACUGAGUCACCGUUCUAGAACGAUCAUUGCGUUUACAGUUUCCUGUAGGCGGCAGCAGUUCGACGCGAGCAGUACAGUGUUAUCCGCACUAGUUGUCGUAAUUGUGGAGUCAUAGUUAAUUACCGGUAUAAAAAUUGUCAAAAUCGGAUCAUAACUAUUCAAGCCACCAGAUAACGAAAAUGUGAACCCCCGAAGCCUAUAAAGGAUAUCUGCCGAAUAUAUCGGCCAGUCUGUAGAGUAUAUUUUUGAAAUCUUUGAUAAUAAUACACCCUUGUGUCAAAAAUGGAUUGAAACGGAUCAAUACUUCCUUUAGCCCCCAUUUCCCUGAUAUAAAGAUUUUCGAACUUCCGGCUGACUUUAUACCACAUACCUAUAUCGGCCAAUGUGCUAGUUAUGUGAAUGAAAUUAAGGGAGCGUGUUUUCCUAAUAACGGUGUAUCUUCGUGCCUAAAAUAAAUAAAAUCUCGCGUAAACUUGUCUUAGCCCACAUAUAACUGACAUUCACGAUUUUGGAAUGUCCGGCUGACUUUGCUCCACAUAUAUGUUUAUAUUUAUAAAAUUGAUUGAAAAUAAGUUCUCAAGCAUACCUAAGCAAUGUCAAAAAAAUACAAUCAGUCCUUUCAUUUCUAUGCCCC